GGACUGGAUGGGCUGGCUUUACUCCUGUCACAUCCUAUUGGCUAAAAACCAGUCACAUGACCUCAACUAACUGCAAGGGAGGCUGGGAAAUGCGCUCUGGUUUGGUGGGGGUGGGGAGGAGAAAGUUGGGGGAACUCCAACAAUCCCUUUUACUAUAGAGGAAGACAAUUUUAAGUGAUAUAAAGUACACUCAACCUACUUGAAGGAAAAAAAAAGUCAAUUUUUGAGCUUAAUUUUUUUAAAUUACAAAUCUCAGAAGGCUAAGCAACAUUUUGUGGUGACUUUAUUUGGCAAAUGGAGGGCAGUGCCUGCCCCUCUUAACCCUGGCGCCCUGCAGCGAAGGCUACCCAGGAUGGCUCUACAGCUCAGAACCUCGGUUUCCCUGCUGGUUUAGGUCCGAGUUUAGACUUGACGGGAAUUCAUCAGGGAACCACAUAGCGAACGCCAUGAGCUAUUCAGAGGCCUGGGAGAUGAGUAUCACCUGUACUGGGGGAUAAUAGCUGGCCACACCGCAGGAAGUUGGCAAAGAAAGUGACGACUCAAGGAUAAGCAAGUCAUGGGGAAGAAGUGGUUGGCCAACUCCAAAACACAGAGAACUGCCCCACCAAAGCCACCCGAAGGAAACAGCCUACACUGAGAAAGCAGUGAGGUCCCUGCGGGAAAACCUUAGGGCAGGAGUCACUCACCCUAAGCCGAUGGUGACCGGAAGAGCCCCCAAGAGGCCAGGCUGGUUGAGAUGACACAGUGCCAUGGCUUAAGAAGAGAACAAUCCAGUUUGUAUGUGGAGAAUGGAGAGUGUUUGGAGAGGGGAUCUCCAGAAUUUGUCCUCCAGAAAUGGAUGGAAAUAACACAAGGCAGAAGCUGAAAUGUCAUAAAUGCGGUGUGGAUCCACUGCUAGAGGAGUUGAGCAGGAGGAAAGAUUUCUUCUGACUUGGAGAGAGGAGCGUCAGGGGAGCACAGGUGUCCCCCUGCUCCUGGGGGAGGAGGCAUUGAAGAGGUCCCAGGCCACAGGACUAGGACAUCCAGAAAGGUCGAAAAGGGAAGAAAUGUGCAACCAAGGGGUUAAAGUAAUGACUUCUGAAAGAGCUGAAAAUAUUUGGAUUUUUUAAAAGAUUUUUUUGUGGGCCAUUCUUAAAGUCUUUAUUGAAUCUGUUAAAAUAUUGGCUCUGCUUUAUGUUUUGGGUUUCUUUUUUUUUUUUUUUUUUGACUGUGAGGCAUAUGAAAUCUUACAUCCCUGAACAGAGAUUGAACUCAUACCCCGUGCAUUGGAAGGCAAAGUCUUAACCACUGGACCGCCAGGGAGGUCCCUAUUUUUAUUUUUUAUUAGAAAAUAUUUGAUUUUUCAUGGAUAAUCUAAGUAGUCAUUUAUUUGUAUAUUGUAAUCCCUUUUAAUUUCUAUAAUUGACAACAUGUGGUAUGGUAAAAUUGUUUUUAUAUUCAUCACAGUGGCACUUUACUCUCCAGAUAUAUUUGC
ensembl:lncRNA